rnacentral:lncRNA from 1 species
UUUGAAAUUCAAAUCUCGCCUCUCUCCUCUCUUUCUCUCUCUUUCUCUGGAGGUGAAUCGGAUGAUAAAUCACGCGAUUCCUCUUUAGAUCUGUGUUUGUUUCUUCUUCAGAUAUAUGAAAAAGUUGCAAACUCUCCCAACGAGGUGUAACCGCCAGAAAUCAUAUGGAUCUGGUGACAGCUAUGAUAGAUGUGGUGCAAUGGUGGAGCCGUUCAACAACAAUGACUAGAUUGAUGAUGUUUUAGUUCCUAUUCGCAGCUGUAUCCUCGAUAUCAGGCAAACUAGGGUUUGGUGGUCUUCCUUCUUACGCAGAGCAAUCUCCGUCUUCAAGAGGUUACUCGCAAGCUUGCUCAGAGAUGAGGAAAGGAUCCACCCGAUUUUUUUGGAUGUGACGCGACAAACAGCUAAGUGUUUGGAAGAGAGGCUUUAAAGUAUUGCUGAAACGAAAAGUUGGACCUUAAUGUGUUUAUUGCGCUGAGAAAGGGUCUUUUGAGACCCGUAGUUAGAUUGAAGAAUAUGAGUGUGAUGAAUAAUCAGUUCGUCUUGCUUAUGUUCAAUCGCUUCAUGUCGUUGGGAUUGACCUACGUAGAUUUGUAGAGGCUGAAGAGUUGUUAUAUUCAUCUAUCUCCCACAGAAAACGAUAAAAACCCCUGCACAUUCACCACACCCAUCACCAUCUUCACGGCACCCUGGUUGUGCUGAUACCGGUCUGGGAGAUUCCGGCAAACUAGGGUUUGGUAGGUGGAGAUUCCGGCCAUCUAGGGCUUAAACAAGUUCUCUCCGGCGACUGGAUGGUGAAGGCACCAAGCUUUUCAGCUUCAUAUUUUAUUAGACUACCUGUUAGUUUGUGGAGCAUGUGACCUUUUCCUCUUUUCAACUAAAGAGGAAAAUGGUUUCCUUGUGCCUUUUGAUUUUCACAAAAUGUUGAUUUGUUAUAUAUGUGAGUAGAACAAAGCACAAAGUUUAUAGACGGUCUUUAAAGGUUGUAGAUAACCAAGCGUUUAAAAUCUAAGAAAUUGUCGUUCUACAGUUCUAGAUUGUAGAUCUGUCAUCCUUGCUUAUAAAAUACACACGAAAUGUUUGGGUUCUUGAGUUCUGUAUAGUUGCUUCUUAUGUAACUCAGAGUGAGUCAACAUAAUUUGUCAUAUUUAAACAAUAGUUUCUUUGGCCAUUUUUUUUUGUUCGUCCACUAGAGAACAUUUAAGCUUCAGAAGAUCUCUCUUGCUGAUCUGCGAAGUAGAAUUCCAAUGAGGAUUCAGGUUACCGCCUUUUUCAUGCCUUCUAUCUUUCGGUUUUGAUGUUUUUAUUUUGAAUUUUGUUUACUUUCGUGAUUUAGGGUUUAACACUUUCAAUCAAUAGUGGACGUAACACAAUUUUUGUUGAGGUAAGUGAAGAUGUCUUGAAUAACCCCUUGAAAGUUCAAUAUCUUGAUUUCAUAAUCUGGUGUAUGCGUGUGUGUUUUAAAAGUUGAAUUUUCAGGUUAAGAUAUCACAAUAAAUUAUUGCUAUACUGAGUUUAAUUGGCUUUAGUGUUGCUAAAUUAAAACAUAGACAAUCAAAUAUACUACUUUUGCUAAUUUAAGGAAAUAGUUUAUUAACAGAAGUGAAAAUGUUUUGGCUAUGCACAGAUUAAAACAAACCAGGUUGCUAUAAUUAUUGCUUGAGCGCUCGAAUUGUUAUAAUUAUUGCUUGAGCGCUCGAAUUGUUACAUCGUCGUUUUAUGAUUAAAGUAACUAUACUAAUGGGUUGGUUUGGACAAUUAUUUGUAUCAAGUUUGUUACUGGUAACUGUUUUUUAGUGUUUAUUAGAAGCCCUGAGGACUGAAGGCGGAUCUGUAGUUCUGCACACGACGGCUUGUUACUGUAAUGGUUAAGAACUGGCGUCUUUUUUUAAUGAUUGUUGAGCUUCAUGGUGUCCUGGUGGCUAUGAAGAUCCUACAAUAGUGACCGGAAUUGGAACAAUCGAUGGUGGGCGAUAUGUGUUGUGGUCAUCAAAAUGGUCGAUGCCUUACUUUUUAGAUCGUCACCAAGAUCAUUAUUCUGAUUUCAUUACAACAGCUGCCCAUCCUGCAUUUGAUGUUGUCAAUAAAGGUGCUCGACCAACUGUCCCGCAUGACUGCCUUCCAGAGUUCCAGUUGUGAGACAUGAAUUCAGAUGUCAGACCACCCUUUACCGAGGUGGUCUGAAUGCCCAUGGUGCACAAAGCUUGGUUCAGGUGCUGCAUGAUUCAGCCCAUGACUACUGAUUGAUGUGUGCGUGGAAAAAUAUAAGUCUAGAAAUGAAACAAGAAAAGAGAAACAAUAGCGGAAAAGUCACGCGUAUAUACCAUUAUGGUAACUUCUUUCAUCAGAUUGUGUGAAAAGAGGAAGAAAAUUGUGACAUGAUAUGAAUUGCAAGUAUAACAAUGUUUGCCUGUUUAAAUAUAAUAUACCAAUGAGGCUUGACUUUUGUAAAUAGCAGCUUGAAGUUAGUAGUGAUGGUGGUGUCAAAAGAUAUACACACACAUAUUUGUUUUUGGAACCAUCUGCAAUUAAUUUGGUAAAUUUGUAAUAGAGUUACAUAUCUGAACGCAUACAAAGAGGAAGAUAAUAAACUACUAUGUGUGUUAGGAACAACUCUUUUUCUGUAAUAAGAAUAUUUGGAUUACUCUUC